rnacentral:tRNA from 3 species
GGCGGUGUGCCCGAGUGGCCAAUGGGAGCGGACUGUAAAUCCGCCGGCUUAGCCUUCCCAGGUUCGAAUCCUGGCGCCGCCAC